rnacentral:antisense_RNA from 1 species
CUUGAGGCUCCCGAGCCAGAGCGGCCUGUCCUUCGAGUGGGCCUGACCGUAGGUCGCCAGGAUGGCGUGGGCCUC